rnacentral:rRNA from 1 species
UACGUAGGGCGCAAGCGUUGUCCGGAAUUAUUGGGCGUAAAGAGCUCGUAGGCGGCUUGUCGCGUCGGUUGUGAAAGCCCGGGGCUUAACCCCGGGGUCUGCAGUCGAUACGGGCAGGCUAGAGUUCGGUAGGGGAGAUCGGAAUUCCUGGUGUAGCGGUGAAAUGCGCAGAUAUCAGGAGGAACACCGGUGGCGAAGGCGGAUCUCUGGGCCGAUACUGACGCUGAGGAGCGAAAGCGUGGGGAGCGAACAGG